CCUACGGGAGGCAGCAGUGAGGAAUAUCGGUCAAUGGGCGGGAGCCUGAACCAGCCAAGCCGCGUGAGGGAAGAAGGUACAGCGUAUCGUAAACCUCUUUUGUCAGGGGACAAAGGCGGGGACUAGUCCCCGGAUGAGGGUACCUUAAGAAAAAGCAUCGGCUAACUCCGUGCCAGCAGCCGCGGUAAUCCGGAGGAUGCGAGCGUUAUCCGGAUUUGUUGGGUUUAAGGGGUGCGAGGCGGGCCUGUUAAGUUAGCGGGAAUAUCCCGGGGCUCAACCUCGACGAGCCGUUGAAACUGGCUGGCUAGAGUGGGAGAGAGGUACGCGGAAUGCGCGGUGUAGCGGUGAAAUGCUUAGAGAUCGCGCAGAACCCCGAUUGCGAAGGCAGCGUACCGGCUCCACACUGACGCUGAGGCACGAAAGCGUGGGGAGCGAACAGGAUUAGAUACCCUUGUAGUC
rnacentral:rRNA from 1 species